rnacentral:lncRNA from 1 species
CCAUCGUCAUAUAGCUAGCUCACCCGAUAGGUUUAAAUAUGCUUGACCUUUGGGAGAGGUUUAAAUUCGACCAAAAUGAGAGGAAAGAAGUCUCGACCGAUCCAUAAUAGAGGGUCUUUCAAUCCUAAGAAUAAGCAUGAACUAGGAAUUUUUUCAGCGGAAUAGAAUUAAUGAGGGGAAUGGAUGCGACAAUGAAUAAAGCAGAUCCAGGUAGGGCGCAGCAUCUUUUCCGGCGCUGUUAAGAAAGGGGUACUUAGAGCUGUAGAAAGGGUACAGGGAACCAUUGGGCGGUGUGGUAUUCCGAUUCA